UACUCCUACGGGAGGCAGCAGUGGGGAAUUUUGGACAAUGGGGGCAACCCUGAUCCAGCCAUGCCGCGUGAGUGAAGAAGGCCUUCGGGUUGUAAAGCUCUUUCGGCCGGGAAGAAAUCGCAUGGGUUAAUACCCUGUGUGGAUGACGGUACCGGAAUAAGAAGCACCGGCUAACUACGUGCCAGCAGCCGCGGUAAUACGUAGGGUGCGAGCGUUAAUCGGAAUUACUGGGCGUAAAGCGUGCGCAGGCGGUUUAGUAAGACAGGCGUGAAAUCCCCGGGCUCAACCUGGGAACUGCGCUUGUGACUGCUAAGCUAGAGUACGGCAGAGGGGGGUGGAAUUCCACGUGUAGCAGUGAAAUGCGUAGAGAUGUGGAGGAACACCGAUGGCGAAGGCAGCCCCCUGGGCCGAUACUGACGCUCAUGCACGAAAGCGUGGGUAGCAAACAGGAUUAGAUACCCUGGUAGUCCACGCCCUAAACGAUGUCAACUAGGUGUUGGGUGGGUAAAACCAUUUAGUACCGGAGCUAACGCGUGAAGUUGACCGCCUGGGGAGUACGGCCGCAAGGUUAAAACUCAAAUGAAUUGACGG
rnacentral:rRNA from 1 species